GAUGAACGCUGGCGGCGUGCCUAAUACAUGCAAGUCGAGCGGACAGACGAGGAGCUUGCUCCUCUGACGUUAGCGGCGGACGGGUGAGUAACACGUGGAUAACCUACCUAUAAGACUGGGAUAACUUCGGGAAACCGGAGCUAAUACCGGAUAAUAUAUUGAACCGCAUGGUUCAAUAGUGAAAGACGGUUUUGCUGUCACUUAUAGAUGGAUCCGCGCCGCAUUAGCUAGUUGGUAAGGUAACGGCUUACCAAGGCAACGAUGCGUAGCCGACCUGAGAGGGUGAUCGGCCACACUGGAACUGAGACACGGUCCAGACUCCUACGGGAGGCAGCAGUAGGGAAUCCUCCGCAAUGGGCGAAAGCCUGACGGAGCAACGCCGCGUGAGUGAUGAAGGUCUUCGGAUCGUAAAACUCUGUUAUUAGGGAAGAACAAAUGUGUAAGUAACUAUGCACGUCUUGACGGUACCUAAUCAGAAAGCCACGGCUAACUACGUG
rnacentral:rRNA from 1 species